AUUGAACGCUAGCGGCAGGCCUAACACAUGCAAGUCGAGCGAGCGGCGGACGGGUGAGUAAUGUAUGGGGCUCUGCCCGAUAGAGGGGGAUAACUACUGGAAACGGUGGCUAAUAAUGCAUAAUAUAGGAUGAACCCAUAUGGGAUUAGCUAGUCGGUGGGGUAAAGGGUCACAUAGGCGACGAUCUCUAGCUGGUCUGAGAGGAUGAUCAGCCACACUGGGACUGAGACACGGCCCAGACUCCUACGGGAGGCAGCAGUGGGGAAUAUUGCACAAUGGGCGCAAGCCUGAUGCAGCCAUGCCGCGUGUAUGAAGAAGGCCUUAGGUUUGUAAAGUACUUUCAGCGGGGAGGCGUUACCCGCAGAAGAAGCACCGGCGAACUCCGUGCCAGCAGCCGCGGUAAUUC
rnacentral:rRNA from 1 species